rnacentral:rRNA from 1 species
AAUGAAAGUAUGUUUAUGUUAAUUAAUAUCUAGGUCAAUAGAAACGUUAAGAAAAAUAUUUUUGAAUGAGAACGGUUUUAGUAAUACAAGAAAGAACUUUUUUCGACUUUAGCUCAAAAGUACCGUUAGGGAAACUUGAAAUAGAAGUGAAAAUCUAAUUAAUUUAAAGGAGAGGUAAAAGUUCGUACCUUUUGUAUCAGGGAGAACCAAAAUGUAUCAGUUAUGGUGAAUUUCCCGAAAAAAGAAUAGCUAAUAGUUUACAGUUGUCCUGGUGGGAAACAGGUUUAUAAUAAAUUUAUUAGUGGUGAAAUGCCAAUCGAGUCUUUUGAUAUCUGGUUGUUCUGGAAAUAAAUUUAAUUUAGACUAAACUAUUAAGGAAUAAAAGUUUAGUAAAAGAGCUGGAGGGAAAAGCUUCUAGUUAAAAUAUGGGUGUAAGAAAAAUUAUGUUUGGAAAGGGGUUAUCUUAACUAAGCUUAGAAGUAGCUAUGUUUAUAAAGUGUCUUAACUAAGAUGAAAACUUGAUAGAAUAUUUUUAUAAUCUUCGUGUAAAGUACAGAACUUUAACUUGUAACUUAAUUGAUUUAGUAGUAAUGAUUUUAUUAGUAUAAUUGUCUCUAUGUGUCGAACUAACUAAAUCUGGAAUAAUAAAUAUUCUUUGUUUGAUAAAGAGAAGCUAUAGCAAAGGAACUCGGCAAAAGGGAUUUCUGCCUGUUUAUCAAAAACAUGUCUUUAUGAAUUUUAUGUAAAGUCUAGCCUGCCCAGUGAUAUUAAAGUUCAACGGCCGCGGUAGCAUGACCGUGCUAAGGUAGCAU